GACGAACGCUGGCGGCGUGCCUAAUACAUGCAAGUCGAACGCUUUUUCUUUCACCGGAGCUUGCUCCACCGAAAGAAAAAGAGUGGCGAACGGGUGAGUAACACGUGGGUAACCUGCCCAUCAGAAGGGGAUAACACUUGGAAACAGGUGCUAAUACCGUAUAACACUAUUUUCCGCAUGGAAGAAAGUUGAAAGGCGCUUUUGCGUCACUGAUGGAUGGACCCGCGGUGCAUUAGCUAGUUGGGGAGGUAACGGCUCACCAAGGCAACGAUGCAUAGCCGACCUGAGAGGGUGAUCGGCCACACUGGGACUGAGACACGGCCCAGACUCCUACGGGAGGCAGCAGUAGGGAAUCUUCGGCAAUGGACGAAAGUCUGACCGAGCAACGCCGCGUGAGUGAAGAAGGUUUUCGGGUCGUAAAACUCUGUUGUUAGAGAAGAACAAGGAUGAGAGUAGAACGUUCAUCCCUUGACGGUAUCUAACCAGAAAGCCACGGCUAACUACGUGCCAGCAGCCGCCGCAG
rnacentral:rRNA from 1 species